rnacentral:rRNA from 1 species
AGAGUUUGAUCCUGGCUCAGAACGAACGCUGGCGGCAGGCCUAACCCAUGCAAGUCGAGCGCACCUUCGGGUGAGCGGCGGACGGGUUAGUAACGCGUGGGAACAUACCCUUUUCUACGGAAUAGCCUCGGGAAACUGAGAGUAAUACCGUAUACGCCCUUCGGGGGAAAGAUUUAUCGGUGAAGGAUUGGCCCGCGUUUGAUUAGAUAGUUGGUGGGGUAAUGGCCUACCAAGUCUACGAUCAAUAGCUGGUUUGAGAGGAUGAUCAGCAACACUGGGACUGAGACACGGCCCAGACUCCUACGGGAGGCAGCAGUGGGGAAUCUUAGACAAUGGGCGCAAGCCCGAUCUAGCCAUGCCGCGUGAGUGACGAAGGCCUUAGGGUCGUAAAGCUCUUUCGCCAGGGAUGAUAAUGACAGUACCUGGUAAAGAAACCCCGGCUAACUCCGUGCCAGCAGCCGCGGUAAUACGGAGGGGGUUAGCGUUGUUCGGAAUUACUGGGCGUAAAGCGCACGUAGGCGGAUUGGAAAGUAUGGGGUGAAAUCCCAGGGCUCAACCCUGGAACUGCCCUGUAAACUAUCAGUCUAGAGUUCGAGAGAGGUGAGUGGAAUUCCAAGUGUAGAGGUGAAAUUCGUAGAUAUUUGGAGGAACACCAGUGGCGAAGGCGGCUCACUGGCUCGAUACUGACGCUGAGGUGCGAAAGUGUGGGGAGCAAACAGGAUUAGAUACCCUGGUAGUCCACACCGUAAACGAUGAAUGCCAGACGUCGGGGGGCUUGCCCUUCGGUGUCACACCUAACGGAUUAAGCAUUCCGCCUGGGGAGUACGGUCGCAAGAUUAAAACUCAAAGGAAUUGGCGGGGGCCCGCACAAGCGGUGGAGCAUGUGGUUUAAUUCGAAGCAACGCGCAGAACCUUACCAACCCUUGACAUCCUCGGACCGCCAGAGAGAUCUGGUUUCCACUUCGGUGGCCGAGUGACAGGUGCUGCAUGGCUGUCGUCAGCUCGUGUCGUGAGAUGUUCGGUUAAGUCCGGCAACGAGCGCAACCCACAUCCUUAGUUGCCAGCAGUUCGGCUGGGCACUCUAGGGAAACUGCCCGUGAUAAGCGGGAGGAAGGUGUGGAUGACGUCAAGUCCUCAUGGCCCUUACGGGUUGGGCUACACACGUGCUACAAUGGCAUCUACAGUGAGUUAAUCUCAAAAAGAUGUCUCAGUUCGGAUUGGGGUCUGCAACUCGACCCCAUGAAGUCGGAAUCGCUAGUAAUCGCGUAACAGCAUGACGCGGUGAAUACGUUCCCGGGCCUUGUACACACCGCCCGUCACACCAUGGGAGUUGGUUCUACCCGACGACGCUGCGCUAACCCUUCGGGGAGGCAGGCGGCCACGGUAGGAUCAGCGAAUGGGGUGAAGUCGUAACAAGGUA